rnacentral:rRNA from 1 species
GAUGAACGCUGGCGGUAUGCUUAACACAUGCAAGUCGAACGAACUCUUCGGAGUUAGUGGCGGACGGGUGAGUAACGCGUGAGAAUCUGCCUCUAGGUUUGGGACAACAGUUGGAAACGACUGCUAAUACCAGAUAUGCUUAACAGUGAAAGAUUUAUUGCCUGGAGAUGAGCUCGCGUUGGAUUAGCUAGUUGGUGGGGUAAAAGCCUACCAAGGCGACGAUCUAUAGCUGGUCUGAGAGGACGAUCAGCCACACUGGGACUGAGACACGGCCCAGACUCCUACGGGAGGCAGCAGUGGGGAAUUUUCCGCAAUGGGCGAAAGCCUGACGGAGCAAUACCGCGUGAGGGAGGAAGGCUCUUGGGUUGUAAACCUCUUUUCUCAAGAAAGAACACAAUGACGGUACUUGAGGAAUAAGCAUCGGCUAACUCCG